rnacentral:lncRNA from 1 species
AACUUAAUUCCCCUUCGACGUGUGUUAUGGGUUGAACUGUGUUUCUCAAAAGAAUGUUGAAGGCCUAACCCCUGUAUUUGUUCAUGUGACCUUAUCUGGAAAUGGGGUCUUUGCAGAUGUAAUCAAGUUAAAAGGGAGUCAUUAGCGUAGGCUUUAAACCAAUAUGAGAAGUGUCCUCAGAAGAAGAUAAAUAUUUGGACACAGAGAGACACACAGGAAAAUCAGCAUGCAAUGGAAAAGACAGAUAUUGGAAUAAUGCAGCUGUAACUCAAGGAAUGCCAAGUAUUGAUGUCCUGUCUCAGACGCAACAUGGCCUUGCUGAUACCUUGGUUUUGAACUUUUAUGCUCUGAAAUUUCCAGUCUCAUUCUCUGUGAGAGAAUAAACUUCUAUUGUUUUAAACCAUCUGGCUUGUGACACUUUGUUACCACAGACACAAUAAAUUAAUAUAACAUAUAGCAUAACACAUUUAUAGGUUCUCAGGAUUAAGUCAGUCAUUUCUGCUGAGCCAUCAAUCUACUUACAGCAGAUAGAAAUGACUUUGUAGUUGACUUAAAUAUGAUUGUGUUUUGUAUAAUAUUUUCAGCAUAAUGCAUAGACCAAAAAAGCAAUCUUUAUUUUAUUUAUUUAUUUUAUUUUAAUUAAUUAAUUUAUUUAUUUAUUUUUGAGGAGUCAUCUUGCUCUACCACCCAGGCUGGAGUGCAGUGGUUUGAUCUUGGCUCGCUGCAACCUCUGCUUCUCAACUUCAAGCGAUUCUCCUGCCUCAGUCUUCUGAGCAGCUGGGAUUACAGGAGACAUGGGGUUUCUUCACGUUGGCCAGGAUGACCUUGAACUCUUGCUCUAAAGUGAUCAGCCUACCUCAGCCUCCCAAAAUGCUGUAAUUACAGUGUUUAGGAGAUCAAAGUCUAAAAUCAAGAUGCUGCUGAGGCUGCAUUCCUUCUGGAGGUUUCAGGGGAGAAUUGUUUCCUCGUCUUUCUCACCAUCUAAAAGGCUAUUGCUGGAAGAUCUCUUCCAUUGGAAAGUCACCCAAAACGUGUAGGUAUAUGUUUGAAUUUCACUUAAUAGAUGUCAUUCUUAAAGUAAAAUCUAAACAUUUAAUUACAUUAUACUUCCUUAGUAUAUGCAAAUAUUUAUCUGCCCUUUCUUAAAAUUUCUAUAAUUCUGUGCAUAGAAUGAAUUUAUUUUAUGGUAAAGCUGACGCCAAUUAGCCUAUGUGUAUGUUAGGUACUGACUCUAUUAAGUCAAGGAGUGAAAACAGGCGAAGAGAGUAUAAAUAGAAGGUCCUUUAACCUACAUAAAAUAACACAAGUCAUUGGGAAGGGUACACAUCUCCUAGAACAACAUUAGAAAUAAUUAACAUCUCUCAGUGGAGCUGUACAAUAGCAAUAAACGCAAUCAUUCACUUUACUGAAAAUACUUGUGUGAAACAAAUAUUCAUCAUGUAUGUAUAUUUUAGAUCAGAGUGAUCUAACCAAUGAAACUAAUUUAUUUUGUUAAAAGCCUCUUUGAUUUACUCUGUGGUUGUGGAAGGAUGGAAGUCAUUCAAAUGGAAAUGCUCAAAGGGUGAAGAAAUCUAAUAAUGUGUCAUAAAUAUAAUAAAAAAGGUAAAUUUAAUCAGGCCAGGUGCAGUGGCUCACACCUGUGAUAUCAGCCCUUUGGGAGGUGGAGACAGAAGGACUACUUUAGGCCAGGAGCUUGAGACCUGCCUGGGCAACAAAGUAAGACAACACCUGUACAGAAAAAUUUAAAAAUUAGCUGGGAGUGUUGGCACGUGUCUGUAGUCCCAGCUACUUAGGAGACUGAGGUGACAGGAUCAUUUGAACCCAGGA